AAUAGGUUUUUCGGCUAUUACAUCUAUGGGUAAAGGGUAAACGUCAAUGAGUUUAUGGGAGUAUAUUACAGAGGGGAUGGGAUCGAAGAGUAGUUGUUUAGCAGAGGUAUGAGCCUGACAUCCAAUUCUAUUCAUUUUCGGAGUCCAGCAUUCGAUCCUUUAUUUGAAAACACCUCACUAAUCAAUCAUCUAGCUAACUGAACCGGAUAUUCUCAUU
rnacentral:lncRNA from 1 species